UCAUCCUAAACAGAAAACCUUCAGAACUGAUGAUACAUAGCCCCAACAUUAUCAAGACCUUCAACAUACAUCUAUGUCUAUAAAGGGUGUCAGUGCAAAUGGCGAUUGGCGAAUGGCAGUUCUAAGACCGAAAGUAACCAUGCGUCUCCAAGAAUAUGGACAAAUCCAUUAAAGGUUACCAAUGCUUGGCUCUGACAUUGCUAGACUUUAUUUAACACCUUUAAUUUUACAAAUAAUUAGUAACCAUAAGCCAUUUACCAUUCGCACUUACAACCUUUUGUGAAAUGGGUAUAUACAUUAGCUAUUUACAUAUUAUUUUUUAGUUCUUUCUAGGUAUAUUCAUUGUUUGAGUAAUAUGUUAUAUUAUAUGUUCACUAAAUCUAACACUACAAAAACUGACUGGGUACAAUUUAAAACAUGAGCACAUCUGCCACUAAGUGCUUAGAUGGCAGCUAUCUUAUAAAAGAAAAGAUGAAUGGUUUGGUUGUUUUUAUUUUAUUUGUUUAUAGCCAAGGGGGCGCGGAGAUGACUGCAGGAGUUGAAGUAACCAACCCAUUAUUUGAAAGAACAGUUUAGAGGCUAUAUGUAUCUCCUAGAAAAUUAGCUAUUUACGUGUUAUCUAUAGAAAGAGCUCAGAAAUGCCUGCAUCUCAUGAGUGGAUAUAUGCAAACAACCAUAUAAAGAAAUGAGUCACAGGAAUAGAAAUUUAGCAAUUUUGCUCAGAAAUGACUGCAAGAAUUUACAUGUUCAAUCCUCAUACAAAAGAAUGGUUUAGAUGGCUUUACGUUAUCUUCAAGAAAUUUAGCAUUCGUGUUUAGUUUGUAGCAGAGGGGGGGCUCAGAUAUGCCUGCACAAGGACGUAAAAUGAAAGAAGGUAGAGUAAAAUGUAUUUAGUCAUUUGUGUUUGAAAAAAACAGUGCAAAAUGUCCUAUUCUUGUUUCUUGUUGUGUAUACAAUUUCAUAGAAUUACAUAUUUGCACGAAGAAAUAUUUGACAUGUUUUUUUACAGAUUUGUUGGUCAUUUGAAUAAAAAACUUUAAUUUUUACCUUUAACCAGAACUAAAUUUGUUUUCUUUUUUUAAACAGUAACAAAUUUAUAUAUUGUACAUGGAUAUAUUUUGAGUGAUCAAGAACAGAAUAUUAUGACAAACAUAACACUUUUAUAAUGUCCAAACAUAGCGACAACACCUGAUCAAAGAUAACAAGACAAUGCCAGAAAAUAGCUUGGAAGAAGAACAGGGUAUGUGAUUUAAAUCAACCUGUAGAACUGAAUAUCUGUAAGCCUCAAAACAUGGUCUGAAUACUAAACGACUAUCUCAAAAAACCAGCCCCUAGGGAUCAAUGGGAUAACUAAAUCCAAGACCAAGGCUCAAGAAAAGCUGCUGUUAGACUAACUUACCAAGUGAUGAUUGAUCAGAGUAAAGAAAAAUAGAUAAUCUAACCUAAAUGUCAAACUCCUAUCUUCUUUCAAAUACAAGCUAAACCUAAGAGAGAAUGACAAUUAUUCAUAUUUCUAGUUUUGAAUUGUAUCAAUAUUUAUAAGGAAUCCAAUUAAAAACAAAGCAGCAUUACAGUAGAAAAUACUUCUAUGAUCUAUAAUCUUUUCUUUAUUUACUUUCAUUGCUACUUUGAAAUUCCUGAAAUUUAGUAUUCCUGUCACUGAGACCAAUUUCUCCCAACAAGAAUUGAGCAAAUAUACAAUAGAUCUAGAAUCAGAGAUCAGGCAUACAAAAUGAAAAAAAAAAAAAAAUAAUUCCAU